rnacentral:rRNA from 1 species
CCUACGGGAGACAGCAGUGGGGAAUAUUGGACAAGGGGCGAAAGCCUGAUCCAGCCAUGCCGCGUGUGUGAAGAAGGCCUUCGGGUUGUAAAGCACUUUCAGUGGGGAAGAAAGCCUUGGGGCUAAUACCCUCGAGGAAGGACAUCACCCACAGAAGAAGCACCGGCUAACUCCGUGCCAGCAGCCGCGGUAAUACGGAGGGUGCGAGCGUUAAUCGGAAUUACUGGGCGUAAAGCGCGCGUAGGCGGUCUGAUAAGCCGGUUGUGAAAGCCCCGGGCUCAACCUGGGAACGGCAUCCGGAACUGUCAGGCUAGAGUGCAGGAGAGGAAGGUAGAAUUCCCGGUGUAGCGGUGAAAUGCGUAGAGAUCGGGAGGAAUACCAGUGGCGAAGGCGGCCUUCUGGACUGACACUGACGCUGAGGUGCGAAAGCGUGGGUAGCAAACAGGAUUAGAUACCCUAGUAGUC